rnacentral:rRNA from 1 species
CUCAGGAUGAACGCUAGCUACAGGCUUAACACAUGCAAGUCGAGGGGCAGCAUUGGGAUAGCUUGCUAUCCAGAUGGCGACCGGCGCACGGGUGAGUAACGCGUAUCCAACCUUCCCUAUAGUAGAGAAUAGCCCGGCGAAAGUCGGAUUAAUGCUCUAUGUUGUGUUUUGAGGACAUCUGACGAACACCAAAGGUUCACCGCUAUAGGAUGGGGAUGCGUCUGAUUAGCUUGUUGGCGGGGUAACGGCCCACCAAGGCGACGAUCAGUAGGGGUUCUGAGAGGAAGGUCCCCCACAUUGGUACUGAGACACGGACCAAACUCCUACGGGAGGCAGCAGUGAGGAAUAUUGGUCAAUGGGCGAGAGCCUGAACCAGCCAAGUAGCGUGCAGGAUUGACUGCCCUAUGGGUUGUAAACUGCCUUUAUCAGGGAAUAAAGUGCGGCACGUGUGCCGUUUUGUAUGUACCUGAUGAAUAAGGACCGGCUAAUUCCGUGCCAGCCGCAGC